rnacentral:rRNA from 1 species
UACAGAGGGUGCAAGCGUUACUCGGAAUUACUGGGCGUAAAGCGUGCGUAGACGGUAGCGUAAGUCGGGUGUGAAAGCCCCGGGCUCAACCUGGGAAUUGCCUUCGAGACUGCUCUGCUAGGGUGCGGAAGAGGGAAGCGGAAUUUCCGGUGUAGCGGUGAAAUGCGUAGAUAUCGGAAGGAACACCAGUGGCGAAAGCGGCUUCCUGGUCCAGCACCGACGUUCAGGCACGAAAGCGUGGGGAGCAAACAGG